UAUACAUAUUUUUAACCCCUUACGGACCAAACUUCUGGAAUAAAAGGGAAUCAUGACAUGUCACACAUGUCAUGUGUCCUUAAGGGGUUAAAGGACAAAUAAAAAAUUAAAGGCUCACUUUAGGUACACUAUAUAAACAACUUUAGUAUAAUGAGGCGGUUUUGGUGUAUAGAUCAUGUCCCCGCACUCUCACAGCCCAAUUCUCUGCCAUUUUGGAGUGAAAUCACUUUUGUUUCGGUUUAUGCAGCCCUCGCUACACCUUUUCUGGCUGUGGCUAACACAUCCAACAUGGAAAGGAAAAUUUUCACUUUAAAUUGUAUAUUAACUUGAUAUAGCAGAUCGUUACCGAUAUACACUACUGGCAGAGGUGAAACCAUCUUACAAAUGUGCUUUAUUCUAG